rnacentral:tRNA from 1 species
CAGAAAAUAGUUUAAUGAAAAUAGUAACUUUGGGAGUUACAGACUUAGCACUGCUAAUUUUCCGA